UACGUAGGGGGCGAGCGUUGUCCGGAUUCAUUGGGCGUAAAGAGCUCGUAGGCGGCUUGGCAAGUCGGGUGUGAAAACUCCAGGCUCAACCUGGAGACGCCACCCGAUACUGCUAUGGCUGGAGUCUGGUAGGGGAUCACGGAAUUCCUGGUGUAGCGGUGAAAUGUGUAGAGAUCGGGAGGAACACCGGUGGCGAAGGCGGGGUCUCUGGGCAACUCCGUGACGCUGAGGCGCGAAAGCGUGGGGAGCAAACGGGGAUUAAGAAAC
rnacentral:rRNA from 1 species